ACGGGCUUGCUAGCGUGGAAGGCGCCCGACGAGACGCGCCGUACCGGGAUGAAGGCAAAGACGACGCACC
rfam:Streptomyces sp. NRRL WC-3605 P232contig11.1, whole genome shotgun sequence.